rnacentral:rRNA from 1 species
AAACCAACAGGGAUUGCCUCAGUAACGGCGAGUGAAGCGGCAAAAGCUCAAAUUUGAAACCCUCGGGAUUGUAAUUUGAAGAUUUGGCAUUGGAGAAAGCUAACCCAAGUUACUUGGAAUAGUACGUCAUAGAGGGUGACAACCCCGUCUGGCUAACCGUUCUCCAUGUAUUGCCUUAUCAAAGAGUCGAGUUGUUUGGGAAUGCAGCUCAAAGUGGGUGGUAAACUCCAUCUAAAGCUAAAUACUGGUGAGAGACCGAUAGCGAACAAGUACUGUGAAGGAAAGGUGAAAAGAACUUUGAAAAGAGAGUGAAAUAGUAUGUGAAAUUGUUGAUAGGGAAGGAAAUGAGUGGAGAGUGGUUUAGGUUUCAGCCUUCUUUCGAGGGGGUGCACUACCAACGCCGAGUCAUUGAUAGCGAGACAGGGGUUAUAAACGGACGGCACUUGUGCNUUCUCCUAACCC